AAAUGACUCUCGGCAAUGGAUAUCUCGGCUCUUGCAUCGAUGAAGAACGUAGUGAAAUGCGAUACUUGGUGUGAAUUGCAGAAUCUCGUGAACCAUUGAGUCUUUGAACGCAAGUUGUGCCCGAGGCCUUGUGGCCGAGGGCACGCCUGCUUGGGCGUCAUGG
rnacentral:rRNA from 1 species